AUUAGCAUGUAAUUUGCAGUUCACUAAAUGCGGUGCCGGCGACUUCUCGUGCUUGUCGUGAUGCUUCCCUCCGGCGAGAGAACGAAUGAGACUAUCCGGGACCUUUAGACCCAGUUUGGUCUCUAUAUCCUUCAAAUCAGGCAAGACGUUGUUAUCCUCGUCCAUUGUAGACAGUCUGAAAGAUUACACGUUUCCACUGUGUUGAAAGACAAGUAAAUGACAGAGCUGCGAGCUGUUGGGGGAGACGCGCGCGACGAGUUGAUUCAAAAGUUGCAACAAGCGCGUGCUCCUCGCAACUUUAUUCAACUAGCUCACAGACUGAAGUAAUGAUGAAGGGCCAAAGACACUUCACUGAACCCGAGCGCACCGCUGUUACACCAACAGACCUCCCAUCCAAGCGGCUGGCCAGUACUGAGACAGUUUAUCGACAACGUGCUGUCCGUGGACCCUCCCAUAAGGGAAGCCUUCUCUGAAACCAGACACCAGACGGGUGAAGGGACGUUGGGUGUUAGUUAACGAUUACUGUACGCAGGGGAUAUACGUUUGUCAGCGUCGGUGUAGGUGUGGAGCAGGACGAAGAUGGGGUCAUUGGGCGAGAGCUUUCGGAGGAAGUGGAGUAAUAGGGCGGCGUGUCGAAAGUGUUAACCUGCAGACAGUCCGCCACAUCCUGGGGCUCUGGGAGACGCUGGACCAUGGGCCUGUUGACAUUUCCUGCUGGGUUCCUUCUGAUGGGAGCAGUCUCUGUGCCUGGAAGGAGACCGGGACCAGACAAGAUGGUUCCCAGCGUGUCAUAGUCUUCUACGCUCUCACAUAUGACCCUCCACUGGGAGAAGAUAGAGUUGGUGCUCAGGGAAUUCAUGUCAAAGCUGCUCCUGGCUCCCAUCAGGUCAUCUGUGCAGAUGUCACAUGUGCUUCCACCGAUGGCAAAGUUCCAGUAGGGCAGGGCGAAGGAGGGGUCUCGUAGCAUGUCCUGGUUGUUUGAAAUAAAUUAAUGAAAGGAUGGCUGAGUAUGAGUUUGUGAAUGUGAAGAUCAAGGCUAGGAAGGCUAGGAGUUAGCUUGAGGCUUUAUUUUAUUAUGCUGCUGACAAUGUACUUCCAUCCCCUUUGGUCAUGCCAAAGUUUCCUUUCAGUCUCAUUUGGCAAUGCACUGAAUAAAUUGGUUAUC